rnacentral:misc_RNA from 1 species
GAUGAAGAACGUAGCGAAAUGCGAUAAGUAAUGUGAAUUGCAGAAUUCAGUGAAUCAUCGAAUCUUUGAACGCACAUUGCGCCCGCCAGCAUUCUGGCGGGCAUGCCUGUUCGAGCGUCAUUUCAACCCUCGAGCCCCCCCGGGGGCCUCGGUGUUGGGGGACGGCACACCAGCCGCCCCCGAAAUGCAGUGGCGACCCCGCCGCAGCCUCCCCUGCGUAGUAGCACACACCUCGCACCGGAGCGCGGAGGCGGUCACGCCGUAAAACGCCCAACUUUCUUAGAGUUGACCUCGGAUCAGGUAGGAAUACCCGCUGAACUUAAGCAUAUCAAUAAGCGGGGA